rnacentral:lncRNA from 1 species
AAACUAUUGUAAUCUGCUGGUAUAUGUUUUAGGGCUUUAGCCCAAAUUCUGCUUCUGCUGCUGCUUUAUUACGGCCCCUUUAACUAAAUAUUAGCUUCCCUUUUGAUGAACUUGGCAGGCGCUUUAGCGAAAAAAAGACGUAUAUUGGGCUUCAACCCAACGUAUAUGCAUCAGAAAAAUAGUGAGUCCAGCGGAAUCGAACAGCAGUAUAACAUGUAAAAAUAACAAAGAGCAGAAAAUUAGUAUCUGUAAGAGAGAUUAGCAUACUGAAUUUAACAUUCAAUGAAAAUUUAAGGAAAUUGUUCAUCAUUUAUUUUCAAAAGUAACGCUACUAGUAAUCUUAUUCACAUGUAAGUAACUCUUGGUGGAAUGAAAUUCAUAGCAGAUGAAAAAUAAAACUAGCUACCGAAAUAUAUGGCUAACACAUUACUCAUAAACUAUAUAUAUAUUCUUAGUACAUGAAAUUAAGACUCCAGGAAGACAGAAAGGUGCAAGAAAGUAGAACUUCAACAAAAUUCCCUUAUCAAGGGUAACAGGAUCAUAUGACUUAUGGGAAUUAGCUUAUAUACUUAUUGAACUCUUAAAUCCUUAAUUAAACUCAAGCAGUCUUCUCGAAUAUGAGCACAUCAAAUUAGUGAAUCAGCAUACAUUCAAGGAAGAUCAAACAGAGGAUAAAUUUGAGCGAGCAUUGAACACAAACCGAAGUUGUCAUAAAGGUAACGACAAAGAAACCAAGUCCAUCUCGGAAAAGUAAAUCAACUAAAUAAAGCGAAGAUAGAACUCAGAUAUAAUCAGCGAGAUAGGCAUCUGAACUAUCACCCUAUUUAGUUGUUUCUCAUUUGGAAAAAAAAAACUCAGAAGUAAAAAUAUAUUCUACCUUUAUAUUCAUUUCUGGAAAAAUUCAAAUACUUGGAACACACUAUGUAAUCAUAAGAAUGUAUUCUACUUUUUAAGUUGAACACAGAUGGGAGCUCGAUGACUAAGACUAACAAAGCACGGGGUGGAGGUAUUUUAAGGGACCAUCAAAGCAACUUGAUAAUGGCCUUUACUAUGUCUAUGAUCUUUCACUCAAAUAACUAGGCUGAAACACACACAACACUUUAUGGUCUCAAAUGGUGUAAGCAAAAACAAAAUAGGCCCUAUUAUCUUAGAAAUGGACUCAAAGAUGGUGGGGGAUAUGAUAAAUGGCAUAUGUCAACACUGGACUGAUGAGAUUCAAAAUAAUCUGAAGGACCUCAAUGCUACUGUGGUCCACUGUUUUAGGAAAGUCAACACUACUGCUGACUCCUUGGCAAAAUAUGACGCCAUAGAAGACUCAUCUAUGAUUUUCACUAACUCUGCCCAAAUGCCUUCGAUGACUCGGGGAAAUUAUCUGAUGGAGAAGAAUGGUAUGAUAAACUUUAGAAUCAGAAGCAAAAGAAAAGGAAUAGGCUGAGGUCUGUGAGCUUCUGAGGAUCCUAAAGUUGUUAAAAUUCUUCUAUGGUCAUACUUCAUAGUACCUUUUUGUGGGCUUCGGGACAAGGGCAACCCCCGUAUCUGCUGUUUUGCUUCCUGAGGUUAAGGUUUUAAGUCCCCUCAUGUAAUCGAUUUAAUUGAUAUAUUAGAUAGAUAACUUUAUUUAAGAAAUGUACAUAAUCUUGAAACACUACAAAUAGCUCCAAGACAGUAGCUUGAAAACACGUAUAAAGGAAAGUAUUAACUUACAGAAAGACCAAAAAAAAUGACAAAGAAGGCAGGUUUGAAAUGACAACAAAAUGCUUGUUCUUCUCCUUUACAUUUGAAGAUCAGAAGAGAUAUAUAUGUAGAGAAAGUGCAACAUUUAUCUAUAAGAUUUAGCUACCAUUGACAUAUAUAUGUAAUUGAACUAUGUUGAUUAAGAUAUACUAUGACCCUUAUAUGAUAAAGAACUCACUGUUUAUAGCAAGAGCAAGCAGAUUUCAACACGAGAAUACCAAAUAAUCUCAUUAGAAUGACUCAGGGGAUAACAAAGAGCAACGUAAACCAGAGAUUUAACUUAAAACGGCAAAAUAAAUUCUAAAUGACUGUCACACAAUAGCAGGAAUUUAUCACUCAAAACAAUAGAGUCCUAUGGGCUAAAACAACCAAUUAUUAAAACACUUCAAAUGGAAAACAAGUAAGGCUUAAAUACAAGAAGAAACUUUCGUCAUUUUUAGGCAAACAUAAACCAUUUGAAACAAAAUUUAAUAGCAAAAGGAAGCAGACUUUCCAGAAAAGUAACAUUUAAACAAGAACACAUGACUAUGGCUAUGGCUUCGGCACAAGAAUAUUCAAUCGUCUGAUACAAAACUUCAGCUUUUCAAAUAAACUAGGGAUGAAAUUGAGUUGUAGCAAUUGCAAGAAUAGACGACUUUGGGUGGCCAGCGGUGUUGAAUUAACAGACGAUGCCACAUAACCAAAUAAAGAAAUAUCACAUACAUAUAUGGUCUUCUAGAUUAUGUAAGACUGGUCAUUUGGUUAAAAGAACAAAUAAAUUAAAGAGAGGCUGGGUAGCUCGCAAGACUUCUCCUUUGAAGGAAAUCGCUUUACAGCUAGAGCACCCUCAUAAUGACCCUCAGGAAGAUCAACAAUCAAUCUUAUGUCUAACGCUGACCUUCCCACAAUCAGUCUUGAGCCCAAUAUUAAAGUUAAGGCACGUGCUACUAGAUAGCCUCUUCAGAACUAGCAUGUAAUAAUAUUUUCACAUUAUGACAUAGGCUUGACUUUUUGCCUAUAAAAGAGACAUUUCAGUAGAUCUAAUAGUGUCGAGAUCUCUCUCUGUAAAUAUUACAAGUUCCAUCUUUUAGUGUUUCAAUGGAAGAAGACUUUCAAGCAAUUUCACUCUUGUAUUCUAUCCCAACUUUAUUUGCUUGGCCAGCAGAAAAGAAACUUGAACUAUCUUAAUCCACUUGCCUUGAACUCCUUUUCACAAAUUUUACUGUUAAUCAAAAUAAUAAUAUUUUCAAGUAAACAGUUUCGCAUUAUUCGUGGGGACAGGCACCUGUGGUAUUAUUUUGAUCUAUUUUUCUAACUCUUUGUUGAAUCACCAGAGUCUGUCCUCUAAAGAAUUUCUACCAUGUGGAGGACCUAACACGACGGUCUAUCUUCCAAUGCUAGCAUUAUGAGUGCGUCCUGUUGGAAUGAAAGUUAACCAGUAUGGAGUCUAUUGUCUCUGGGUGGUUCAUCGACUAUUCAGACCUCGUCACUUGGGUACUCAAAAUCGUAAUUGAUUUACUGAAAUGCGGUGUGCCUUAGGACUUUGCCCAAACUAUGAGGGACUUUAUCGAGUCAUCUGAAUAGCAAAGAAAGAUAGUGUGGAAUCUUAGAUGAAACCAACACCGAGCUAUCGGGAACACUGUGGCAACAAUGGUUUAUACUCAUAAAACAUUGAACCCAGAUGCUCAACCAAUUCAAAUCAUGCCUAUUAGCAAACAAAUUCGAAAGUAAACAGUUGUCUAUGCAGAAACGAAAACUGAGGUAAAAUAAAAGAGAAGGAAAGGCCAAUUACCUUUUGUUGAGCAGCAAGCGUGACGGGAAGAUGGAGAAAUUUGAACUAUCAACCAACAACUCCCUAUUUUGAGGAGAAAAUCCCUAAUGGAUAAGGGGAAUGGGCCGG